rnacentral:rRNA from 1 species
ACCGGCGGCUCGAGUGGUGGCCACUAUUACUGGGCUUAAAGCGUUCGUAGCUGGCUUGUUAAGUCUCUGGGGAAAUCUUCCGGCUCAACCGGAAGGCGUCUCAGGGAUACUGGCAGGCUAGGGACCGGAAGAGGUGAGAGGUACUCCAGGGGGGGGACUCACAUCGUGUGAUCCGUGGGGGAGGAAAUGAGGCGGGGGCGUCACGCCAGGAUGGCUCCGACAGUGCGGAACCUAAGCUCUUGCAGCAUACCG